GGCUCGAUAGCGGAGGGCCCGCACCUGCCGUUGGUGAUGAAAUCACGGAACCACUUGAUGCAGGAGACGUCCGUUCAACUCGGGCUCGAGCCA